rnacentral:RNase_P_RNA from 1 species
CGGGCCGGCCGGGCGACCGCGUUGGGGAGACCCACCGAGGAAGGUCCGGGCUCCGCAGAGCAGGGCGGUGGGUAACACCCACCCGGGGCAACCCGCGGGACAGUGCCACAGAGAACAGACCGCCUCCCGAGGGCAACCGAGGGAGGUAAGGGUGAAACGGUGGAGCAAGAGACCACCAGCACGCCGGGUGACCGGCGUGGCUCGGCAAACCCCGUCCGGAGCAAGAUCAGACAGCGCACGUCCGAGGGCUGCUCGCCCGAGUGCGCGGGUAGAUCGCUGGAGGCCGUCGGCAACGGCGGUCGUAGAUGGAUGGUCGCCCCUCGGCUCGCCGAGGACAGAACCCGGCCUACAGGCCGGCCCGUUCG